UAGCUUAGUUGGUAGCGCGUCUGCCUUGUAAGCAUAAGCACUAGGUGGCGGGUUCGAUUCCCGC
rnacentral:tRNA from 1 species